GGAGGAAUACUCAAGUGGCUGAAGAGGCACGCUUGGAAAGCGUGUAGAUCGGAGACGGUGCAGGGGUUCAAAUCCCCUUUCCUCCGCCA
rnacentral:tRNA from 1 species